rnacentral:rRNA from 1 species
GAUGAACGCUAGCUACAGGCUUAACACAUGCAAGUCGAGGGGCAGCAUGGUCUUAGCUUGCUAAGGCCGAUGGCGACCGGCGCACGGGUGAGUAACACGUAUCCAACCUGCCGUCUACUCUUGGACAGCCUUCUGAAAGGAAGAUUAAUACAAGAUGGCAUCAUGAGUCCGCAUGUUCACAUGAUUAAAGGUAUUCCGGUAGACGAUGGGGAUGCGUUCCAUUAGAUAGUAGGCGGGGUAACGGCCCACCUAGUCUUCGAUGGAUAGGGGGUUCUGAGAGGAAGGUCCCCCACAUUGGAACUGAGACACGGUCCAAACUCCUACGGGAGGCAGCAGUGAGGAAUAUUGGUCAAUGGACGAGAGUCUGAACCAGCCAAGUAGCGUGAAGGAUGACUGCCCUAUGGGUUGUAAACUUCUUUUAUACGGGAAUAAAGUGAGCCACGUGUGGCUUUUUGUAUGUACCGUAUGAAUAAGGAUCGGCUAACU